GACGAACGCUGGCGGCGUGCUUAACACAUGCAAGUCGAACGGAAAGGCCCUGCUUGCCGGGUACUCGAGUGGCGAACGGGUGAGUAACACGUGGGUGAUCUGCCCUGCACUUCGGGAUAAGCCUGGGAAACUGGGUCUAAUACCGGAUAGGAGCCAUUUUUAGUGUGAUGGUUGGAAAGUUUUUUCGGUGUAGGAUGAGCUCGCGGCCUAUCAGCUUGUUGGUGGGGUAAUGGCCUACCAAGGCGGCGACGGGUAGCCGGCCUGAGAGGGUGGACGGCCACAUUGGGACUGAGAUACGGCCCAGACUCCGACGGGAGGCAGCAGUGGGGAAUAUUGCACAAUGGGCGCAAGCCUGAUGCAGCGACGCCGCGUGGGGGAUGACGGCCUUCGGGUUGUAAACUCCUUUCGCUAGGGACGAAGCUUUUUGUGACGGUACCUAGAUAAGAAGCACCGGCUAACUACGUG
rnacentral:rRNA from 1 species